CCCCCCCCCCCUCCUUCCCUUGCUGGCCACGUAAAAUUAUUUCUUUCGAAACUGCUCACGAGAACGAUCACAAUUGCAUACAACAAGUUUUCAAAAAAUUUCCCGUCUGCUUGCUCAUACUUGGUGGCACGCUCAUGUACUGCAUGUGUGGCCGCUUCACGUGGCUGCACUGACAGUCUUUGCUUGCUGUUGCAGCAUGCGCGAUACUACAAGUGCAGACGUUUGGUGAACAGAGUCCUUACGAAAACUGUCAUAGACAGGCCUCGAUUUUAGAUAUACGUAUGUACAUUCGUAGGUAGAAAUCUCAACAUUACACAUUUUCAAGUGGCCAAGACAUUGGAAAUGGGCAUUCCCACUCUAAAUGUAGUCAUGAAUCAUGGGACAAUUUUACAGAAAAUUGGCAGUGUCUGUUUACAGAAAGAAAAAAAGCUGGAAUAACCAAAAAGUUGAAAAAUUGUUUGCUUGGUUAUGCAAAAUUUGAGAUCUCAGUGUACCUACCCAUAUGUGGUUUUAACAAUUUGUUUACAUAGAGUCCACUAGUAACAAAGUUCAAGUGCUGACAAGUGCAAAUUGAUAUUUCCUGUUUAUAACAUUUUCCUGCUUUUUUUUUUUCCUUACGCCCCCUUGAAAAUUUUUAUAACAGGGUUCAAUUGUAUUUAAAGCAUUCAGUAAUUUCAUACAAAUCUAGAAUAUUCUCAAUAAGAAUGACCUCAAUAUUAGCCCGGUAGAAGUUGGUAGGUUCUUUGCUGUGCCACCAGUGAAAAUUCUCAUGAAAAUUACAUACCCAUUUACUGCUAUCAAGCUCAGAUUAAAAAAAUAAAAUUAAAAAAAUAAAAUAAAUCUUCUUGAUUGAAGUUUGCAAUUCUCAACAAAAAAAAAUUCAUAAAAAUGAUUUUGGUAAUAUUUUAGAAGAGUUAUAAAAAUUUCAAAUGGGCUUCGAUAUUGUGAGUACCAAAAGAAAAAUUAUUUUUUUUUAUUUGCAAGCUAAUUUCAAUUAGGUACUCUUUGAUUAAGGCUGGGUUGUAUCACAAAUUGUUUCAAACAUUUACAAAAAAUAUUUGUAAUGUUUAGAAUGUUUACAAUAAAUUUUGAUGGAUUGAAUAAUGUACUUACAAGUUAGUUUUUAUGUCCUUUAACCCAUAUUUCCUCACCAGUUGAGCUAAUGGUUGGAGUUAAAAUGUUUCCACAAAUAUUUUGUUAUCACACUUACAUAGGAGGUACAAUAACUUAAAACGAAUGGAUUUAUAUUCAUUCUAAGGUAAUUAUUAUAGUAAUUUUUAAGUUUUUUGAAAACCUGUCCCGUUUGUCAAAAUUUUGCACACUAACAAACCUACCAAAAUGUUUCAUUCUUAUAAAUUAUUUAUAUUGGCCUGAAAUAAUUCAACAAAAUAACUGCAGUAUUCUUGACCAUAAAAAUAAUAUAGUAUGCGUACAAAAACAAAUAUUUAUGGAUAGUUAUUAAAGUAUAAGGUAAAUAUCUAGGAGAAUGGCGCAAAUUAAAAGGCAGUUUUUUACUUCCUUUAAGUGCUGUUUUUCCUACAUAUACGAGCACUACAAGCAUUCUUUGAUUUUCCCCAGGAAAGGUCAUUGUUAUAUUCACACUGGUUCCUGAAAUACUUGGUAGUGCGAAAGGGGAUGAAGUCCAGCAAAAUAGUGUCGUAACAGUAAUUAAAAACAAGACGAACAUCAAUUUGAAAAUUAUUAAAAUUGCUGCAACAAAACAAUUUGAAAAUAUUAAACAACAUUCAUUAGAAUUUAUGGUUUUUAAAUUACUAAAUAAAGUGUGUGCCAAUUUCAACACCGUUCUAGUGUGUGGAAUUUUCUAUAAUCAAGUCAAAAUUUAAAACACAAUUUUGGGCGGAAUUUUUUUUUUUUUUUAAGACAUUUUCAUGGUAUUUUUGAUGUAGCUGAUUCAAGUAAGCAACUAACUGUUCACUUUGUUUUAAAACCUCAAUGAGUGCAAAACUCAGAAUAUUAACCUUUCACCUAAUCUAGGGAAUUAAAUGUUUCACCCAAUUGUCAGUACCAAUGAAAACAUUGUCCUCAAAAAUACAAUCGUCUUCCUACUAACAAUACAAAUUCUAAAUCUGUGUGUUACCAAUCAGUUCCUUAACGACUAACAAAUUUGCAUGAAAUUUAGUAUAUAGAUACUUAGGUAUAGGGAUAUUAUCUAAGAUAAUUUUCAUUCUAGAAGUGGGAUUGUAACAAAACAAUUUCUAAAUUUCUAAACAAUUGCAAUUUCAAAAGAAAUAUUUUAGCAUAUUCAAUAGGUGUACAUCCUGCAAUAACAAGAUAUUUAUUCCAAAAAAAUUUAAGUACCUGCCUACAGUUACAGUACAGUAGUAUCUCAAGUCGACUUAGCUUUUUAUAAAUUAAACUUUUUUCAUUUGGACUUUGUUGAUUUUUCUUUACGGAUAGUUUGUUCUAUUAAGCAUCUGAUGCUCUCUGUUUAGCCUCAGAUUUUUUUGUACUUCGUUUGUUUUGUAUUUUAUUGGUUAGGUUUUGGCUGUAGUAUCUCAAUUCUACUUAGACAUUUGUAUCACGAAUUUUAUUAUAUUUGUGUGAUUUGGUUUUUAUGUAUUUAUUUUUCAGAAUUAUGACUGGCAAGCUUAAGAUAAACGUUUCGCAAAGCUCAACCAAAGCUGGAGUUACGAAGGUAGUUAGAUGACUCGAAACACCGCCUCGAGCGGCACUGCGGCAAAUGGAGCAGGUUAGGUAGAGCAUCAGGCGGACGCCAGAGCUGCUGAAAUUCCGAAGCAGUCGCAAGAGAGGAGACAGCAUAACGCCGAAUAUAUUGCGUGUCUGUGUGCUGCUGAAACACGACGUCAACGGCACACCAAGAAUAUUGCGCCUCAGCGUGCUGCUGAGACACCAGCGCAGUCUGAUGCUCAAGAUAAACAGAACGCAGAGAAUAUGGGAUCUCGGAGACAGUAGUACAGGUGGAUCACGCCGAAUCGCAUCUGCUCAGAUACGAGCCGAGUAACGACAAAUAUUUUCAAGAAACACUCGACUAUGACAAAAUCUUAAAUUCCAGUCAUCACAGGCUCAUAAAAAUUAAUAAGACUCUAAACAGUACACGUAAACUUUGUUGGUCAUUAAUAUGGAAGAGAAAGAUGGCGGGAAUGAGUUGCUCAGGGGCCAAAGAAGGUUAUUCCUCUAUUAAAAGAGCCUGUAGAACCAUUCAAGAAACUAAUUUCUUCAGAGACAAUGAGUCAUGGAUUUUCCUCAAUCAGAUCAGAAAAUAUAAUUCAUAAUUACUUCAUAGGAUUGUUACGAUGCCAGGAUUUUCACCCAUGUUUACUGUGAGGGGGCAAGUCUACCACACAAUAGGAUCAUUAUUAUCAACCUCAAUUGGCCAGCCACGAGGAAGCCAAAACAGAUAGAUGUUGUCAAACUAUUCAGGGGGUUGAAAAGGAAUACUGUGCAAAAAAUACAGUGUGUGCUUCAAGACAAUUAUUUAUAUAAUACUUCUAUUGACUAAAGUAUUUCAAUCCAUACACGGAGACCUGAUUCACGACAAUUCAUUCUGAGGCCGCGUUCGUGCAUGUUCGGUUUUGUUUCUUCUCAGUUUUUUAUCCGUGUACCUAAAACCAACACGUAGAGGAUUUGAAAAGAUUCCAUUCAUAGGGUAUUUGUUAGAGUUUUAUUUCGAUUGGUUAAAACAUUGGUAGUUUCUUAGAAAAGUUACAUUUCUGAAUCUUAAAAAAAAAAAAUUACAAUGGAACUAGGCCUACUUUUAAAACUGCUCUCGAGAACAUGACCGAUGACAGUUGCAAAGUGGUCAUACAUGCAGACUUUGCGCAGCGCGGACAGUACGCGAGGCUCUACAAUGCCCAGAACACCAACGAGAUUGCAGUCGUGGUAGCGGAGUCACCACCAGGCGCAAUAACAUACUGCGCGCCCACGACAAUACACUCACCAGGAUCGCCGACAGAUAUCAAUACUACGAUUCUCUCAAGUAUCCUAUUAUUUAUUUAACCAAUAAUGUAUACUAAAACUUAAUUGGCUCGUGCGAAGCCAGGUACCAUAGCUAGUAAAUUAAUUAACUAUUAUGAUUUUCCUUUCACAUAAGAAUUUUUUUAGCACGAAGUCUAAUUUUUUAGAUAUAAACUAUAAUUGAAUUGUUAAAUGGCAAAGCUGUUAUUGUAUUAUUUUGUUACCCUAGACAGAAUAACUUAUCUGUAGCAUGUUCAUGGAAGGGUAUGAUCAUCAUGUUGAAUAUUUUAACAAGAUGUCACUUUAAAUGUUGAUGCUGAGAGUGGUUAAAUUGCUGUGAAUAUGAGUUAUACAUAUAUUAAAUCUACUUUUUUUUUA